GACCUGAGUGAAGGCAGAGGCUUAACCUACUGAACCACCCAGAUUUGGAGCUUCAGCAACUUCUUCCAGGGAGGAGGUCCAGUGUGGCUCCUGUUUCAACCUGCAAUCUUGAUUCACAUCCAUAGAUUGGAAUAUUGGUGUACAAGCCAUCCUCAGACACCUCACUAAGGACAGAUGAGGAAACUGAGGCUUGGUGAAGUUACGAAACUUGUCCAAAGUCACACAGCUUGUAAAGGGCACAGCCAAGAUUCAGAGCCAGGUGGAUGAUCUUUUGUAAACAUUUACAGAUUAGAGGAAAUUCUUUUGUUAGUGGGCUCCAUGCCCAGUGGCACCCAGCGUGGUA